CUGGCCACCUGAGCCAGCAGCGGCAACCUGCUCGGGUCCCUUUCCAUGCUGUGGAAGCUUUGUUUUCUCACUCUUCACAAUAAAUCUUGCUGCUGCUCACUCUUUGGGUCUGCACUACCUUUAUGAGCUGUAACACUCACUGUGAAGGUCUGCGGCUUCACUCCUGAAGUCAGUGAGACCACGAACCUGCCAGGAGUAACAAACAACUCUGUAUGCACCACCUUUAAGAGCUGUAACACUCACUGUGAAGGCCUGCAGCUUCACUCCUGAAGUCAGUAAGACCAUAAACCCACCGGAAGGAAGAAACUCUGGACACAUCUGAACAUCUGAAGGAACAAACUCUGGACACACCAUCUUUAAGAACUGUAACACUCACUGCAAGGGUCCGUGGCUUCAUUCUUGAAGUCAGCGAGACCAAGAACCCACUGGAAGGAACCAAUUCUGGACACAUUUUGGUGACCAUGAAGGGACUAUUGCCUAUUGCCAAGUGAAUCGAAGCCAUCAAGCUACAGAUGGUCUUAUAAGUGGAACCCCAAAUGAGCUCAACUAACAACUUCUACCGAGGACCUCUGGACCAACCUGCUGGCUCUUUCACUGGCCUAAAGAGUUCCCCUCUGGAGGACACUACAACUGCAGGGCCCCUUCUUCUCCCCUAUCCAGCAGGAAGUAGCUAGAGUGGUCAUUGCCCAAUUCCCACAGCAGUUGCAGUGUCCUGUUUAGAGGGGGGAUUGAGAGGUGAAGCUAGCUGGGCUUUUGGGUUGGGUGGGGACUUGGAGAACUUUUCUGUCUAGCUAAAGGAUUACAAACACACCAAACAGCACUCUGUGUCUAGCUAAAGGUCUGUAAACGCACCAAUCAGCACUCUGUAAAAAUGCACCUAUAAUCGCUCCUUGUCUAGCUAAAGGUUUGUAAACGCACCAAUCAGCAAUCUGUAAAAAUGCACCAAUCAGCACUCUGUAAAACGGACCAAUCAGCACUCUGUAAAAUGGACCAAUCAGCGCUCUGUAAAAUGGACCAAUCAGCAGGACAUGGGCGAGGCCAAACAAGGAAAUAAAAGCUGGCCACUUGAGCCAGCAGCGAUAACCCACUCUGGUCCCU
rnacentral:lncRNA from 10 species